rnacentral:misc_RNA from 1 species
AUGUGUGUGUGUAAUGUGAUUUUUUUUUUUGUAUUCAAAAUGAAAAUGGGAAUGAUAUGUAAUUUGAAGGAAUUUCCUUUUUCAUUUGGAUGGAGAGAUUUAAAAUUGUGAUAUUUGAAAUGAUGCAUUGGUUUUCUAUGAUUGAAUAAAACUAUAAAUCUAGUUUAGGUUAAUAUAUGUGGGUAAUUGAGUGUUUGAUAUACCUAUAGUUUAGUUUCAAAUCCACCUCAAACAGCCAAAUGGUUGUGUGCCUAACUGCCUACUUGUAGUACAAGAGGUUAGGAGUUCAAAACCUGGCAUCACCCUUCCCCUUUAAAAGUUUAAAAAAAAAAAGUAACUUGUCAACCAUAUUCAUGAAUGUUAAAUUCAUUUAUAAAUCUAAUUAACUAAAGAGUGGGCUAACUUUUAUUCAAACAAUUUAAACUAAAAUCUUACACUCAAAUUCCCUUAUUUGAAAUUCUUCCACCAAGAGUAUUAGUUUCAAAAUGAAAGCAAUAAACAAUUAAUAGAUGGCAGAUCAGUGAGUUUCCAUUGGUAACUUGCAGAUAACUAGAACACACACAUCACAUCCAUUUUGAAGUCCUAAAAGUGCCAAUGAUAUUUGGUACACAGCCACAUUCAUCUACUCCCUAAUUUACUACAUUGCAACAUUUCAAGAGAAAUAAAAAUCCUGUUCAAUAAUUGAAAAUUAAUGUGCAGCUCAUAAUAUUUUGAGUCUCCACUUCCUUAGAAAAGUAAAAUAAAUAAAUAAAUAA